rnacentral:lncRNA from 10 species
AGUUCUUUGCAUCUGGCCAGAUACCUCAGCUGUGACCUCCUGUCUCUAAGGAGGGGGUCCCUGCAAGUUUUGCUUUCAAAAGUCUCUUGGGAGAAAACACAAGUCCCUGAUUCUUAGAAGCUGCCUUCGUCUUAACUUAAGAAAUCCCUCAGUGGCUUUUUGGUUAGCACGACAGGGUUAGCCUUUCUGACUGGUGGGCUUCCAGCCUCUAAGGAUAGCUGGGUUUCCCUUGCUUUCGCCUACCCAUUUGCAGGCAAGAAAACUGAAGCUGGACGCUGGCCUCCAGUCCUGUCUUUGCCAUUAGCAGCCCUGGGAUCUUAGUGCCUUCACCAGCCGAGCUUCAGUUUUUCCACCUGUAAAAUGGAGGGUUGAGGCCACAUCUUCCUUUUAGUCCUUCCUCUUCCCUUCCCUCCAGAGCAAGUGGUGUGGAAUUCUAAGGCAAAAGUCACCCUGAUUGAAUGGUGUAGAUUAGUCAAGAACCCAGCACUGAGGUCAGCCUCUGGAAGCAAUUUAAGAUGACCCAAGGAUUUGAGAUUCCAACCUCCUGCAUGCAAGCAGAAGUGCUUCCUCCUACAUAGGGCUGCCCUCCUUCCUGAGCAACUGGGCUGAUUUGUGGAAGAAACAGCUGUGCUUUCUGGUGAGCUCCAAUGCCAAACAUGUAGGCCUUGGAUCAGGCAGGAUGUUCCAUCAGCAGUCAUUGUUCACACCUGUGCUGUAUGGGCCAGGCAUCGAGCCAAUAGUAACACCUCCUUUCACCCCACAACAACCCUGUACCAAGCACACACCCAUUUUAUACCUGAGGAAGCUGAGGCUUGGAGAGGCACCGCGCCCAGGGUCAUGUAACCACAGGUGACAAAAUGAAGAUGCAAAUGCAACCUGAGUGAUUCCUUUUGAUGGAGCCACACCAUUUAAAUCAAUGCUGGGUGAUUGGAUUAUAUGUAAUUUUUUUAAAUUAAAAACAUUUUUUUGCCAGACACAGUUGCUCAUGCCUGUAAUCCCAGCACUUUGGGAGGCCGAGGCGAAGUGGAUCACUUGAGGUCAAGAGUCCGAGACCAGCCUGGCCAAUACAGUAAAACCCCGUCUCUACUGAAAAUACAAAAAAUUACCUGGGUAUGGUGGUGGGCAACUGUAAUCCCAGCGACUUGGGAGGCUGAGGCAGGAGAAUCACUUUAACCUGGGAGGCAGAGGUUGCAGUGAGCUGAGAUCGCACCACUGCACUC